CCAGCGACAGCACCGAGGCCACUCCCGAGGACAACCUGGCCCGGAUUUCUGUCCCCAUCCUCUACGAGCCCGACCUGUUCCUGUCCAGUGACACCAACCUGCAGCGCUACGAGGUUCAACCCCACGGCCCCGGCCCCGAGUUCAGCACCACGGUCAGGGUGCAGAAUUUGGGGUGUUACCCCGCGCACAACCUCACCCUGCACGUGGCGCUGCCGGCGCUGGGACACGGCCGGGCCACCCUCCUGUCGGUCACCCGCGUGCUGCCCGGGGACAACGCCACCUGCACGCUGCGACCCCCCCCC